AUUCAUGGUGGAGAUGAGUAUCUAAAGAUCCAAACUUAUCACUAAUAUUUGGUUCUAAGUUUGUUUCCUUCUAUAUGAUGCUUGGCAGAUGAAGUAUCACCUAUAUGUGUAUUUACUGCUGUGAUUACGUUUCAUGUCUUCUUGAUUGAGUUAGAGAGCAGUUACGUCAGAGCAGGUUCUCUCGCAUUUAAUUCUAGAUUAAUCUUAGAUAUUUAGCAUAUUAUCUGCCAAGUCUCCAUCUACUUUGUGGAAAACUCUGGCCUAGAACAGUAAAUCUCCUAUUAUUCUGGUACACAUUGACUAGAACAGUAAAAUCACAUUGAGUAUCAAGGCUUCUCUCGAUAUUUUGAUAGGAUAACUUGUAUCCACAAAACAAGAGAUGGAACUUUUCAUGGGUUCACCAUUAGCUAUAAGGUUCUCUCUUGAAUUAAAGUCCUUGCAGGAAAGUUAGGGGGGAUCAAACUUUAUUGUUGAUUGGACCUCAGGGGAUACUCUGUCUUAAAGACCAUAUCAAGCAUGUUACAGCAGAUACACUUUGUCCGUACAAUGGAUGUAGAAAAGGUCAACUCUUGAAGUUUGGCUACCAUGCUUUUCUUGGUCAUCUAUAUUACUAUUUGCAUUUUGGUCCUCAAUUGGUCACUUUUCUUGGUGCAUAUUGAAAUUUCUGUAGGUUCUUCAGGUCAAAGAUUUGUGACUCUGAUUGCAUUUUACUCGUUACCUGUUGUACCUAUCACUUCUUUUUGAUGAUCAGUUGCGCACCUGCUAAGUAAGAAUACCAGGCAUGGGAUGUGCAGAUAAAUUUUUUCCUGAGACUAAUAUUUUCAUUUGAUCUAUUGGAAACACAGGGCGUUUUCAAGGUAUUAUGGGAGAUAGAAGACCAUACUUGUCUCUUCAAUCAUAAAUCAUGUCAGGUACUGGCCAUUUAUGAUGAAACACGUUGCCUAGCUCGCGAUGAUUGGUGUAAAUGAUCACAAUAGCUUUUCAAGAAUAUGUAGGAAAGAGAAAGGAAUUAAAGGGGUUAUAUUAUAUUCCUCACCUAGUGGUUGCUCCUUUUGCAACUUGACGAACUAAAUCCCAUCCUGAUGUCAAUUGUAGGAGGGAAAUGCAGAGACAAAGAGGCGGAAAUCUUCUUCUUUUGGUUCAAAUCAUGUUCAUCUUCUGCAUCUGUGACAGCCGCUGCAAAGCUUACUCCAUUUUACUUCAACAGAUACUUCUAAUGUUCCUUUGGCCACUCGAUCAGAGGCGCCUAAAGAGAUUCGGUCUCAAGUAUGAAGUUGUGUGACUACAUUAUUCCAGAGCAAUCAAGUUUCUCUGAUCAGUAUGGUUUAAGAAGCAAUCUGUGUAAAUUGUAACCAAAUGGCCAUAAACAUAUUUUUUAACCACGAAGCAUAAGGGUCACCAAUUUAUGGACGCUUCGGAAUAUAAGCACUGCGGGCAUCAAUUGACUUACUCUUAGCUGCCAUCUCUUGUAAAUCCACGGGGUUUUUUUUUCGGCGCCUCCGCACAUUAGUCAAUAGAGACAUUUUGAAAAUUCUUUUGGGACGUAAUCAUUACUUUCCACUUUGGAAAUGUAGAAAAAUAUAUAUAUAGGGAUGACCAAAUAAUUAAAGAUACCUUUCACGGUGUAAAAGAUGACGACAAAAGUUAAAGGAAAGAGAAUAUUCGUGGAAUAUAUCUUUUUUUUAUCUUCUUUAAUUUAUCAUCCCAAUCUAUACUCUUGAGAAAAUAUUAAAGCAAUCAUUAUUUUGGAUCGGCGCAAUAUUGCAAUCGUGCAACCAACGUUCUCCGAUCAAAACUUGAGCAGCUAAUAGUUCCAGUUUAGUUUUUACUUAGUAACGAACGAGUAAAUUAUUUUUGAUCGGAAUGAAAAAAUAUCAAGUCUGGCUUUAGGGGAAACUUUAUAAUUGUAGUGAACAACACGCGAAUUUAACAUUCCGUUCGAGACAAAGACGACUUCUUAAACGAUACGUUUUCAUCAAAAAAGUAAACCAAACAAACCAGAAUCAAACCAAGCCAAAGGGGAUGACACAGAAACCAAAUCUAAACCAAACACAGAGCAGCACCAAACCACACUAUCUUCGAUUACCAGCCA